GGAGGAAUCCUGAAGGAAUUAGUUUAGCCCAGAGGGCAUUCAAGAAGCCAAGAAGCCACUGAAUGUCUCUACAGAUUCACAAAGGAACACCUAUAGUCCAAAGUAGGACACUCAGAUCGAAACUUGACUGACAGAAGAAACUCACUUAAGGUCGGCCAAACAGCCAUUUUGCAGAAAUUCCCAUAAAGCGUACCUGGAGAUACAUGCA